UACGUAGGGUGCGAGCGUUAAUCGGAAUUACUGGGCGUAAAGCGUGCGCAGGCGGUUUUGUAAGCCCGGUGUGAAAGCCCCGGGCUCAACCUGGGAAUGGCAUUUGGGACUGCAAGGCUUGAGUGCGGCAGAGGAGACUGGAAUUCCUGGUGUAGCAGUGAAAUGCGUAGAUAUCAGGAGGAAUACCGAUGGCGAAGGCAGGUCUCUGGGCUGACACUGACGCUCAUGCACGAAAGCGUGGGGAGCAAAAGGG
rnacentral:rRNA from 1 species